ACCAUGGGCAUGUCCGUGAAUGUAAAGUCCACUGGGAAUGUGGCAGCGCUUCGGCGUUCUUUGGGUCAGAGAGGGUGAAAACCCCGUUUACACUCAUUGUGGGGCGUGUCUGUUGUGUGGGCGUGUUGAAGAGUCGGAUUGUUUGGGAAUGCAAUCCAAAACUGGUGGUAAUUUCCAUCCAAGACUAAAUAUUAGCAAGAGACCGAUAGGGAACGAGUAGCGUGAGGGAAAGAGCAAACUGUCUCUGCUGAAGAGA
rnacentral:rRNA from 1 species